rnacentral:rRNA from 1 species
CCUACGGGUGGCAGCAGUGAGGAAUAUUGGUCAAUGGACGCAAGCCUGAACCAGCCAUGCCGCGUGCAGGAUGACGGCCCUACGAGUUGUAAACUGCUUUUGUAAGGGAAUAAACGCAGACACGCGUGCCUUUCUGAAAGUACUGUACGAAUAAGGAUCGGCUAACUCCGUGCCAGCAGCCGCGGUAAUACGGAGGAUCCGAGCGUUAUCCGGAUUUAUUGGGUUUAAAGGGUGCGUAGGCGGGCGGUUAAGUCAGAGGUGAAAGCCCGAGGCUCAACCGCGAAAUUGCCACUGAUACUGUCCGGCUAGAGAGUAGUUGAGGUAGGCGGAAUGUAUGGUGUAGCGGUGAAAUGCUUAGAGAUCAUGCAGAACACCGAUUGCGAAGGCAGCUUACCAAGCUACUUCUGACGUUGAGGCACGAAAGCGUGGGGAGCAAACAGGAUUAGAUACCCUUGUAGUC